CCUACGGGAGGCAGCAGUGAGGAAUAUUGGUCAAUGGCCGGAAGGCUGAACCAGCCACGCCGCGUGAGGGACGACGGUCCUAUGGGUUGUAAACCUCUUUUAUAAGGGAAGAAUAAAUGCUACGUGUAGCAUGAUGCCUGUACCUUAUGAAUAAGCAUAGGCUAACUCCGUGCCAGCAGCCGCGGUAAUACGGGGGAUGCGAGCGUUACCCGGAUUAAUUGGGGUAAAGGGGUGCGUAGGCGGAUUUUUAGGUCAGUGGGAAAACGUCGGGGCUUCACCGUGAUUUGCCAUUAAUACUGGAAGACUCGAGUGCAGACGAGGAUGGCGGAAUAAGUUAAGUAGCAGUGAAAUGCUUAGAUAUA
rnacentral:rRNA from 1 species